rnacentral:lncRNA from 1 species
GUGUACAUCCUCUGUAUCACGUCCGAGUUGGUUUCAGUAUCCUGCUAAGUGAGGUUGUAAGCUCUGUCUUGGAUAGGAAGUCUGACCUGAUUCUAAUUUCGCAUGCACUCUUUCGCAUAGUGUUGGGUACUCCCACAAAUGCGUCAAGUAUUAUUAAAACGAUAACAGGGUUGGUCCCUAUGAUUCAUGCCACAGUGUUG